rnacentral:rRNA from 1 species
AAUCAACGCUGGCGGCGUGCCUAACACAUGCAAGUCGAACGCGGUUACCCCGCAAGGGGUAACUGAGUGGCGAACGGGUGAGUAACACGUGGGUGACCUACCUUCGAGUGGGGGAUAACGUCCCGAAAGGGACGCCUAAUACCGCAUAACAUCCUGUCCUUGAACGGAUGGUGAUCAAAGCCGGGGACCGCAAGGCCCGGCGCUUGAUGAGGGGCCCGCGUCCGAUUAGCUAGUUGGUGAGGUAAUGGCUCACCAAGGCGACGAUCGGUAACCGGCCUGAGAGGGCGGACGGUCACACUGGGACUGAGACACGGCCCAGACUCCUACGGGAGGCAGCAGUGGGGAAUUGUUCGCAAUGGGCGCAAGCCUGACGACGCAACGCCGCGUGGAGGAUGAAGGUCUUCGGAUUGUAAACUCCUGUUGCCCGGGACGAAAAGCUUCGACCUAAUACGUUGAAGUCUGACGGUACCGGGUGAGGAAGCCCCGGCUAACUCUGUGCCAGCAGCCGCUGUAACACCUAGACUGCCAAGGC